AAUUUGCUUGCAGGGCAACCCCACCUGCUCAUUUAUUAUCAAAAUUCCACAAUUUCAUUUAAUACCUAAUCAGAUAAGGAAAAUCUACAAUUACCCAGAAAUCAAAACUACAAAAUUUCAUUUGGGUUGUGAUCGAAUUUCAGAAAACGGAAGCAAUCCAAUUGCUCAACAAUCUGAUAGCGAGUGAAACUGAAACUUACUUGGGCCAUGAGCGGACUCCG
rnacentral:misc_RNA from 1 species